UUUCGUUCUGCUCCCUGGGAAUUUAUUGAAUUUUAAAUGUUCUGAAGCCUUUUGUCAGUUGCUUUACCACUUCCUGAUAGGUUUUCAUGCUGUAUUUCCUUGCUUCGAGUGAUCUUUGUACUUGUUCGACCACCAAACGUGAGUCACUUCUUAUCUCGGGGUACUUGUCCUGACAACCCAGGGUGAGUCUUGAGAUAGGUGCCUUGUACUCCACUUCACUGUUUGUUGUUUUUACGCAAAUUCUUAGCAUUCAUUCAUAAAUGUCCCCUUUUUGGGGGAUACCAUUACUAUCCCUGCUCCACUUGUUUCCAGUGUUGUUGACCCGUCGACAUUAAGUAUCCACUAAUCAAGCACAUUGGUUCCCUAUGCGGCUGCCUCUUGUUCACCUUGUUCUUCCUUCAGUUGGGUCUAACUCUGUUAUGAAUUCGACAGCGAUCUGGGCUUUCAUCGCUAUUCGUGGCCUAUAUUGGAUGUCGAACUCGUCGAGUUCUAUUGCCCAUUUCGCUAGCUUCCCUAAGAGCUUUGGCUUUCGCAGGAUCUGCCAUAUUUAUUGUUCGGUCAGUACUGUCAUGGUGUGUCGUUGUAAGUAGGGACAUAGUCUUUGAGCUGUAGUGACUAGGGCUAAGGCUAGUUUUUCCAGUGCUGGGUACUUGCCCUAUGCUCCUUUUAAUUGCUCGGCUCUCGUAGUAUUUGGGUUUCUGCUGACCUUCCUCCUCUUAAACCAACUACUAUGGGUGACACUGGUAGAUAGAGGUACAUGGGCUCUUCUUACACAGUUCCGGAAUGUAGUUUGGGUGAUACCAGAUACACCUUUGGUUCUUGGAUGCAUUUUUCGCACUCGGGCGUCCAUUCGAAUUCUUUCCUCAAAACCUUGAAGAAAGGUUUUCUUCGGUUUAGCAAUGCGGUCGCAAUCCCAUAGUACGACGCCUUGGGUGAAAUUUGAAUAAAGGCUUCUUUCUUGGGGAAAAAAAAUCAUUAACACAGUAAAUUAUUUUUGGUCCUUCCGUUAUUUUAGAUGUGAAGGAUUUGUUGCUCUGGUCUUUUUGGGCAUCGGUGCCAAGAGCAGAGGGAGGAGGAAGUGAGAGAAAGCGGCUGCUUGGGGUUGGGCAGAAGGGUGACAGGAGAGAGGGAAAUAACGAGGAAGAUGUGAUUUUUGGGGAUAAAUUACAUUUGCAUGGUUGUAGUACUAUUCUUUUUGAUAAAAAAAAGUAUUACCCACUCGUCAAAGAGAAGUUGCACUUGGGUGUAAAUUCUGUCAAGCCAUCAUUGUGAACCUAUCUUUUUGUUAUUCUUCUUUCACUUCCUAAUUGAUUUAUGUAGUGUCCAUAUUGAGCAAGUAAUUGGGAUUAUGUUGGAGGUGCAUUCUUAAGAAAGAAGAAUUGUGGAUCUUAUUACAAUGUUGGUGUUGUAUUAACAUGUGUCCCAAAUUAGAUUAUCCUUUUCACAAGUUUUCUUAGUGCCAAUUUUUUCAGUGACCCUUAAUCCUCCCCAUAUUAUUUUUCAAGUUUUAACAUUUUUCCUCGGCAAUCUUGUUAAAAAAAUCCUUUAGAGUGAUAUUUCGUUACUAGCAUAACUACUCAUCUUCAUUUUCAUUGCAAAUUCAACCAUUAUAUAGUGGCAUCUUUGACCUCCAAAUUUACCGACACAAAUUAUAUUUGUAGUUUUUGCUUAUAAUAAUUGCCUUGCACAUAUGUAUUUGUACGGGGAUAAAAUACAAAGUAUCAUCUCUGGAAGAGCUAGUUCAGGCAUCUCUACCGGGUUGUUGGUCUAUAGCAAGCUCAACAGGAUCAUUGCGUCGAAGCUUGGCAAGGGCACAACGGUUGACUGCGAUCUCAAGGCACAUUAGGGGACAGAAGGUGACUUGUACGAAGAGGUUUCCUCUGAUAGCCCCCACGCUUGGAUCGAGACGUUGACGAUAUGAUGGCUAGCUACCAACCAAUCCUUAGAGGCAUGGCUGGGUCAGCCGUCUACUCACUGACACAACAGUCAGCGCGUCGAGGCACGCGCCGAGCUGCAGUCUGUCUAGUGACAUGAUAGUUGGCGCGUUCUGACACGCGCCAAACUGUUAUACAAGGCCAGACCUUAUUUUUUCAAAGGUAUGUAAUUUCAGCUCCUCUAAACUUAUACACACUCUCUCUCUCUCUCUUCCAUUCUUUGUUCCCUUCGUCAUCUCUAACUUGACCGUAGGAGGUCUUUCGUUCUCAAAAUAGCUCCGCCCGGCUGCCGAACUCACUAUUUCUGUGUUAUAGUUUGGACGCAACAGCCAACAAUCUCUUUCAACCAUUGCUUUGUCACCGCCGGUAUUUAUCUUCGAUUUCCUAUCUUGCAUUCCUCAAGUACUCGACACCCGACAAUAUUGUAUAUUUGUGUGAUCAUUUCCUGUGUCCUCACAAGCUACGUAAAAUAAACCAAAUUUGAUACCUGAAUAUUUAAUUUGAUAACCUGUAGUAUGCAGAUUCUUACAAGAACUGAUAAAGAGAUAGCACCAAGGCUAUUCAUUAGUACUGUUCAGUUAUUUGCAAUUAAUGUUAAACCUAAGCAUUAUGAAAUGUGCUAGAAGUUUGAUGGAAAUGGGCUUCAUUCUUCAUAAUAUUAAUCAUGUUAUGAAACGCACAUCCCAUACUUCAUGUCAGUAAAGGGCCUAAGGAUCUCUUUAGUUUCUUUAGCAAGGCAUGAGGGAUUUGUUCGCACUUUAGAUACUGCAUUCCACUGUCCCCUAACAUCCUUUCUCCUUUUCUCUAAACUCAGUUUUCUUUUAACCAGUACAUGUGAUUUAUUUCAAGCCGAAGGAUUAAAAUUGAAACAUUAAAUAAUUAACAAAAUCUUGCACAAGAAGUUAACGAGUUAUGUGGUUCAGUAAGUUGUCUACUCUUGGAAGAGAUGGCAUCCACCAUGAACAGUGAACAUAUGUUCCGGACUUGACGAGGCUUAAGCUAUUACUUAUAUUGACCUAGUGUGAUUACAUCUGUAAUUAAAUCAUAGUUAGGAUAGUGGGCUGCAAAUGCUGUCCGUAAUUGAUCCUAAUUAGGAUAAUGUCCGUAUUUGGUCGUGUGUACACUGUAGUGUGAUAACUUUUUCUGUUGAAGAACUAACGAGAUAUAUACACAAAUGAACUUGUUCUCCUUUUGCUUGCAGGGUUUGUGCCCGACCAACAUGUCUCUGAACAAGUAUGUAAUAGAGGAUUGGAAAUGGUAAUUUCGGGGUUUAAGUUGAUCUGUUGGAGAGGAUCCUAAAGUUUGUGGCCAUGGGUUUUCUAAUGCUGCUGAAGGUGCUGCUUCUUCCUAUGUAGAUGCUUCUAAUGGAUUAUUCUCCAGAGUUGUUUCUUCUGUAAGAGAGACGUUUAAGUGUGAAGCUUGUUCUCUGAAUUAUGAAUCAUCCUUUCUGAUUUUCAACAUUGAGGACGGAAGCAGAGCCGACAGAAUUAGUGUGAUAGGGAAAAAUGAUGAAUUUUUCAAGGUGGAAGCACUCUGCCAACACAAGCGUUGCACAUGAGGAGAAAGGUGGCAUGAUGUUUCUAUGAAGAGAGUUCAGGGCUUGGUAAAUUUGAUUCUGCUUGCAACCUAAAUAAAGGGAUUAGUGGGGAUUGCAACACUUGGUUUUCCUUUCUUCAUUGAAAUGGUUUACGAAAAAUGGAAUUGUAAACAUGAAUGGAAGGCGACAUCAUGCUUCUCAUUGAUUGGUGGUUGUUUGGUGGACGACCCAACUCGAUAGGGAAUCAGCUCUGUGCAUAUACUACAUGUAGUUGGCUUCGGGCUAAAUUUUCACUCUGUGCAGCAGUGCUCAAUGGUAAUUGUCGAGUUUGGGUAUUUGUAUCCAUGUUUUCACUAUUCACAAAAAUUUGGGAUAUGCAAAGUUGCGAUUGCAUAUGGAGCAGAUUGAUUUCCUUGACUAGGCCCAACGAUGGGGAUGAAUUGUACAAUCAUAAAUUAAGUUGUAUAUUGGCCACAGAGAUUCCAAGCAAGUAAUAGAUGAACAUUGCCAAUUUGGCGCACCACUUUUAAUGCAAAUCACUUUACUAUUUCAUGUGGAGUUUACGUAUAUAUUUAGACCAAUAAAAAUGUGGGUAACGUUCAUCCUCGGUGAAUAUAUUUGUGCCCAGUAAAUUGUAACUUCUCCUUAAUUCCCUCAUUUGCCAGCUACUAAUAAUAUUUGUUUAAAGGGUAAAUUUUGCUUACCUCUCCUGAGGUUUCUAGCAAAUACAUACACUUCUCUUGUAGUUUUUAAAAUUAUAUUAACCACCCCUG
rnacentral:lncRNA from 1 species